CUCUUCCAUUCGCGAAUCCUUAUUUUCGUUGCACAUGUCGUCUUGCUGUGGAAAGUCGUCGGCAGUCGAGUUCUCUUCUACACCAUCGACAUUCAAUUUCUCUUCCACACAUUCAUCGUGCUCGUUUAGUUUUUUAGGAUGCCAAGAAAAGCUAAGUACACGAAAGAGGUAGAUUCUUUUGAAGAACACAUUGACGGAAUGCUUGCUGCUUCUGAUGCUGAAAAGCGCAAAGGACGAAAGACUACUGAGUUUUGGAAUGUUGAACUCAUUGAUUCUAAUGGAAUAGUCAAGCAAGCUAAAAUGAGUGUGAAGGAGGCUAUGGAGCGGUCUCUCAAUGGAAGCAAGGUCAUACUGAGGUUCAACGACGAGUUGCAAGCAGUUGGUGAUGGAGCUGGGAUGUUGAGUGGCAUUUUAGGAGCGCUGGGUUCUGAUUACAGUAAGUUUCCUAUCUGUGAGAAGAGUUGGGCAAAGGUGCAGGGCAAAGACACCGUUUAUAAUGAUUGCAUAAAAGGAGAUGUUCUACUUUCAGGAAGAUAGCGGUGGUAUAAUCAAGAAAACAUUUUUGCAACAAAUUGGGAGGUCCUGGAAGGAUACAAGGGGGAGGCUGUAUGAUAAGCAUUACAAAACAACUAUGACACUUGAGUAGAAUCUUGACAACCGCCCGGCGGGAAUUCCUAGAGAGCAUUGGAAGUGGUUCAUUGAUUAUCGUAAUGAUCCUGCAACAAAGGCGAAGUGCAAGCAAAACGCGCUGAAUCGAAAGAAGCAACUUUACACACACACUGGUGGUUCUAAAAGCCUGGCUAGAACAAGGGAAGAGGAGUCACAAAAACAAGGGAGGACAGUUGGUAGGGGAGAAGUAUGGAUCCUAAAGCACAAACGACCUGAUGGCAGCUAUUUACACAAAGAAGCUCAGAGGAUUGGUGAAAAAAUAAUAGAGAUUGAGCAGCUGGAUGAAUCUAUAAGAAUAUUGUCAGAAAAUGAUUCCCUUGCUCAAGCUCUCGGUAAGGAGCACCCGGGUAGAGUGCGUGGCAUAGGACACGGGCCGACACUAAGUCAACUCUUCCGUCCGAGUUCGCAGCCGUCGGUGGAUAGAGCUCAAGUAGAAGAGGCCCAAAGGAUGCUGUGUGAACUACAGACAAAGGUGACGACUGAAAAAUUAAAAAGGAAAGCAAUGGAGGAUGAAUUGGCAGCAGAGAAAACAAAGAGGCAAGCAAUGGAGGAUGGAUUGGCAGCAGAGAAAACGAAGAGGCAGGCAAUCGAAAGUGUGCUGAGUUAUCUGGUCCAACAGCAAGGUGGGGAGCUGCCACCAGACAUCCCUGCACGGAUGAAUUCUCUGGAUGAACAUGGCGGGAAUUAGAAAUUAGGAUAUAUGUGAUAUUUUGUUUUUCAGUAUAUAUUUUUUUUAAUAACUAUGCAUUUUAAAUUAUUAACUAAGUACUUUACCUUU